GUUCAAAUGACGAGUUCCAAAUAGGACGAAACGCGUGUCCUGGAU
rnacentral:hammerhead_ribozyme from 1 species